AACGAACGCUGGCGGCAGGCCUAACACAUGCAAGUCGAACGCCCGUAGCAAUACGGGAGUGGCAGACGGGUGAGUAACGCGUGGGAACGUGCCCUUCGGUUCGGAAUAACUCAGGGAAACUUGAGCUAAUACCGGAUACGUCCGUAAGGAGAAAGAUUUAUCGCCGAAGGAUCGGCCCGCGUCGGAUUAGCUAGUUGGUGAGGUAAACGGCCCACCAAGGCGACGAUCCGUAGCUGGUCUGAGAGGAUGAUCAGCCACACUGGGACUGAGACACGGCCCAGACUCCUACGGGAGGCGAGCAGGUGGGGAAGUUUUUGGGGCAAUGGGCGGAAAGGCCUGACCCAGCAACGCCGCGUGAGGGAGGAAA
rnacentral:rRNA from 1 species